GAAGGGCCGCGGUAUUCUGACCGUGCAAAGGUAGCAUAAUCAUUAGUCUUUUAAUUGGGGACUGGAAUGAAUGGUUUGACGAGAUGGUUACUGUCUUUUCUGUAAAUGUUGAAUUUUACUUUUGAGUCAAAAGGCUUAAAUGUUAAUUAGGGACGAGAAGACCCUAUAGAUCUUUAUUUUUCAAUAAAAAGAUGAGUGGUUAGGUGUAUUAUUAUCUUAAGUUGGAAGAUUUUGUUGGGGUGAUGUGGGAAGAGAAAAACUUCUUAUUUAUUAGUACUUUGAUGGGUGAAUCAAUGGUCCUGUAUUUUGGAUAUAAGAUUAAGAUACCUUAGGGAUAACAGCGUUAUCUUAUUUGAGAGUUCAUAUCGACAAUAAGGAUUGCGACCUCGAUGUUGGAUUAAGAUUAUAUUUUGGUGUAGUAGUUGAAAUAAUUGGUCUGUUC
rnacentral:rRNA from 1 species